rnacentral:piRNA from 1 species
UAGUAAAAUACAAGGGGUCCCCAAAAU